rnacentral:lncRNA from 1 species
AACGAGUGUCGUGAACCGGUCCUGGCUGGAAGCGCCGGCUGCUGCCGCGGCUCCCGCAGGGCGCGAUCGCUUCCCAGCGGGGAUUUACGGCGCUCCCGAAGGCGCCCGCUUCUCCCGGCUGCCGCCGAGCCCCGCGCUGCAGCCGGCUGCCUCGUCCCUCCGCCGGGCUCUUAUCUGCCGCCGCGAGAAGUGGCGGCUUGUGCGGCUUCGCUCCCGCGCCGCGCUGCGAUAAGGCGGCCGGCGGGAGGAUCCGGGCUCCCGCGAAGCGCGUCGGGGGGAGCGCACGUGUCUCCAGCACCCCUGGCACGGGGGCUGAGCGCCUCCGCGAGAGCCCGGCAGUGCCGACGGGUGCAAGAGGCGCCCCGGCCCGGCCCUGGGGUGUCGUGUCCGACGAUCGCCGCCGCGAGCCGGGGGGACACGACGGGGGAGUGCGCUCGGUUGGGAGCAGCGUGGGGAAAGGACUUUGGCAAGCGCUCGCUGCGGACUGAAGGUUAYGAACCACGCUGCGACCAGCGGGCUCCAUCCAAGCGGAAAACCAGCGGCGGCACCCGCAGCCCGGAGCAAAGCGCUGGGUGUCCCRGUGUCUCGCCCGCCUCCCCUCCCCGUACCUCAUCCAUGUCUCCCCUCGCUUCGCCCGCAGCAGCGACCCGAAGGGGAUGGAAACGGCCGGGUCCCGCUUCCCCGCAGAAGGGCCGUCCUCAUUACGGCCACCGACGCGUCUUGCUCCCCUCGCUGUCCGCAGGGGAAAGUCCAGCAGCCACGUGGAAGCACCGAGACGUUGUCCCGCACGCGGCYGCCGGCACCGCGAGGUUCCUGCUCCCGCGCCUCGCGCUGCCCCGAGCUGGCGGUGCCUGCGGGAACGCUGCGGGACCAGGGCUGUUCCCGCCGGGCUCAGCCGGCAAACCUGGGGCGCCAGCACCCCGGCAAGGCAGCCGAUGGGCUUGGACACCACGACGGGGGGUUUCCCAGCAGGAAUCUUAUUGGCUCUGGAGGUUUGGACCAGGUUCGGGUCACGUUUGUGAGCUUUUCUCUACUCCCAGAAAGCCUUGCAACUUUGCUUUUUUUUGUUGUUUUUAA